rnacentral:rRNA from 1 species
GAUGAACGCUAGCGGGAGGCUUAACACAUGCAAGUCGAGGGGCAGCACGAGGUAGCAAUACUUUGGUGGCGACCGGCGCACGGGUGAGUAACGCGUAUGCAACCUGCCCUGUACUGGGAGAUAACCCGGAGAAAUUCGGACUAAUAUCCCAUAAUGAUAUUUGGAGGCAUCUUUGAAUAUUUAAAGUUCCGACGGUACGGGAUGGGCAUGCGUAACAUUAGCUAGUUGGUAAGGUAACGGCUUACCAAGGCUUUGAUGUUUAGGGGUCCUGAGAGGGUGAUCCCCCACACUGGUACUGAGACACGGACCAGACACCUACGGGUGGCAG